rnacentral:rRNA from 1 species
UAGUGGCGAACGGGUGAGUAACACGUGGGCAAUCUGCCCUUCACUCUGGGACAAGCCCUGGAAACGGGGUCUAAUACCGGAUAACACCUCCGUCCUGCAUGGGACGGGGUUGAAAGCUCCGGCGGUGAAGGAUGAGCCCGCGGCCUAUCAGCUUGUUGGUGGGGUGAUGGCCUACCAAGGCGACGACGGGUAGCCGGCCUGAGAGGGCGACCGGCCACACUGGGACUGAGACACGGCCCAGACUCCUACGGGAGGCAGCAGUGGGGAAUAUUGCACAAUGGGCGAAAGCCUGAUGCAGCGACGCCGCGUGAGGGAUGACGGCCUUCGGGUUGUAAACCUCUUUCAGCAGGGAAGAAGCGANAGUGACGGUACCUGCAGAAGAAGCGCCGGCUAACUACGUGCCAGCAGCCCGCGGUAAUACGUAGGGCGCAAGCGUUGUCCGGAAUUAUUGGGCGGUAAAGAGCUCGUAGGCGGCUUGUCACGUCGGUUGUGAAAGCCCGGGGCUUAACCCCGGGUCUGCAGUCGAUACGGCCAGGCNUAGAGUGUGGUAGGGGAGAUCGGAUUUCCU